rnacentral:rRNA from 1 species
UACGUAGGGGUCUAGCGUUAUCCGGAAUCAUUGGGUUUAAAGGGUCCGUAGGCGGUUUGGUAAGUCAGUGGUGAAAGCCCAUCGCUCAACGGUGGAACGGCCAUUGAUACUGCCAGACUUGAAUUAUUAGGAAGUAACUAGAAUAUGUAGUGUAGCGGUGAAAUGCUUAGAGAUUACAUGGAAUACCAAUUGCGAAGGCAGGUUACUACUAAUGGAUUGACGCUGAUGGACGAAAGCGUGGGGAGCGAACAGG